AGGUACCCUGACAUCAGAGUGAUCGAGCGAGGCAUUCAAGGUCUGAUUGAUAGGCAGCUGCCCAAUGGAGACUGGCCACAGGAGAACAUUUCUGGAGUGUUCAAUAAAAGCUGUGCCAUCAGCUACACCUCUUACAGGAAUGUGUUUCCUGUGUGGACGCUGGGCCGUUUCUCACAGCUCUACCCCUGCAGCCCUCUGGCUGGGAAACUCAAACUCUGAGUCAGAUACUGUGUACUUGUGCCUCAAAUAAGCAGUAUCUGAUCAAAGAUCAUUCUUAUUUGAAACAAACCUGUUUGCUGCUCUUUAGAAAGUAGGACUGAUUUAUCAAAGUCUUUAGAAUAUUAUCUACAGAAUAUUUAGUUCAUUUUUGUGCUCUUUUAACCAUGAGACCAAGGCGUUGUAUCCUGUAGAUGAUUAUGUAAUUAAAAGCGAUUUUCUGUACUCUUAUAAUAAAUCAUUUUAUAUUUUG